CGCGGGAUGAGGCGGUCGGCGACCUCGAGGUGGACGUUCCCGAGGAUGAAGGAGCGGAUGGUCUUGGUGUUGAACUCGAGGCUGGCGGUCUUGCGCUGGAGGCGCCAGUGGUCGCCGUCGGCGUUGAAGAUGCCGCCGCCGAGGAGGUCAGCGAGGACGGAGGUCUGGUUGUGGCCCUUGGGGUAGUUGUGGAAGUUGGCCUUGAGGACGUGCUCCACGUUCUUGGGGUUCCCGGUCAUGACGGAGGUCGGGAGGACGAUGGUGUUGGUGGGGCUGGCGAGGAUUAGCUCCGCCGUCCACUCCACGAAUCGAUGGCCGUUCUUGACGAGCUCCGAGAAGCUUAUCGUCGUCGAAUUCUUGCUCUUCGAGGAGGAGGGGGCUGAGAAGAACCUCC
rnacentral:lncRNA from 1 species